GAAAAGGGCUUUCGCCAUGUUGCCCAGACUAUCUAUGGCUUCCUUCAAGAGCCUUUAUCCAUGACUCUGCCUUAGUGACAGAGUUGAGUAGUUGUUACAGAGGCCGUGUUGCCCAGAAAACCUAAAAUACAUACUAUAGCUCUUUACAGACAAAAUUUGCUGACCCCUGCUUUAGAUUGGGGAGAUCUUAGCCUCCUGAGAGACUGGACUUCCCCCAAGGGUGUGAUGUCCUCUUUCAAAUACCCAAAGCUCUUACAGUAUUCUGGCUGAGCCUCACCCCUCCACUAGACUUCUUUAGGCGUUCCACAUGAUAACGACAGAAAAAUUCAAUACACACAAACAAAAGUGUUUUUAAUAAUCGUAAAUCCAGCCAGGUGUGGUGGCUCACACCUGUGAUUCCCAAUGCUUUGGGAGGCUAAGGCAGGAGGAUAGCUUGAGGCCAGGAGUUAGAAACCAGCCUGGUCAACAUAGCAAGAUUCGUUAUGAAAGAAAGAUAAAAUAACUUACUGGGUAUGGUGGUGUAUGCUUGUAGUUCCAGCACUUUGGGAGGCUGAGGUGAAUUGCUUGAGCCCAUGAAUUUGAGGCUGCAGUGAGCUAUGACUGCACCAUGGCACGCCAGCCUGGGUGACAGAGUAAGACCCUGUCUCAAAAAAAAACAAAAAAAAAUUCCUAAAUCCCACUAUUCUGAUGUACAACAAUGUUGACAUUUCCAACAAAAACAGGAAUUCAUGGUCAAAAUUAAAAUGGAAUCAGAUCAUGCAUCCUAUUUAGAAACUUGUUUUUUGUUGUUAUUGUUUCAUUUCAAACUAUGUCAUGACCAUCUUUCAGGACAAUAGCUAUAUACCCUAUACAGCAGUUUCUACAGCUUUCAUCGUAUUCCAUUAUAUAAAUAUUAGAUAACCCAUCCCCCACUACUGGAUCUUUAAUGGUCAACCUGUCAAUUAGUGAGCCUUAAAACCAACAUUGCAAUGAACAUCCACAUACAAUUAUUUUCCCAAGUGAAAUUUUGCCUAGAAGUGGGCUAUUUGGUUCCAAGGGUGCACGUUUCUUCUGGAGCUUUGGAUAUAUGCAGAAUCACACGUAAGGAAAACACCUCCCAUGGUGACUCAAUUCAAAGCUUUGGAGGUCAGGGUUCUUACUCCCUCCCCUGGGGCAGACCCAAUAAAGAUGUCUAAUGAGCAAUAAACCAGGCCUUGCCCUCACUUGGAGUUUUACUGGCCCUGCUUUAUGGCAGGAUCAUCAUAAGCUUGACUAGAAGGUUUCCAAGGGCAACUGGAACAGUUGACAGAGACAAGUGAGUCUGGAACCAGCCCAGAGGCUGUGUGUGUCCAGCCUGGUGUAGGAAGAGGGGGCAGGAAGGAAGACCCAGCCCUGGAACUGGUGUUCACUGCAGAGGAAACUCAACCCCAAAGCUCAAUUCAACAUAAAACACAGCAGCACAAUGCUUGACUCAGAAAAAUCUAAGCAUAACACGCUCUCUCCUUAGGGAGACUGAGAUGUGCAUAUUGCAUUGCAGGAAAUAUAAAGAAAUAAUUCCCUCCAAGUACAAAUAGAUUUCUGAAAGAAUAAGCUUACACUGGCUGGCAAAGCUCCAAAUCCUGGGAAGGUCUGUCUGAUCACUCCCCAGCACUAAAAUCAUCAAUAGCUCCCACUGUCCCUUGCCUUGGGCAAGGUAUUCAAGCCUUCCAAAACACCCCCCAAAAAACAAUCAACCUAGUCAAUACAGCAGACCCUGACCAUAGUCUUCACAAUCUCAAAUAAAUACAAUGACUUGAGUGUCUUUUUCAUGCUAUUCCUUCUUCAUAGACAGCCCUUUACCCCCAGCACAAUGUCCAUUUGCCUGAUUCCCACCCAUCCUUUUAGAGCCGUUUAAAUAAGGCCUCUUCCAGGAAGCCUAUGCUGAUUUCCUGGGCCAAAAUGACUUCCAACCCUCCAGGGCAAUUGACUUGAUUCAAUGCCUUGCAUAGGAGAAAAGCCUGAGACUCUCCCCCUCACACAAUUUACAUCACUCAUCCAACCCCAUCCCACUCUACCCAGAGGAUACACCCCUUCACUCUCAGUUCCCCUUCCUAGAACCUAGUCAGUGCCUGGCACAGGAUAGACUGAGUGGGGCAGGGCUGAGAUCCUGAGAGGUGGGAGGUAGCCACCUGGGACACAAGAAGACUUUAGGAGGCUCUGGUAUCCAGGCACAGCACUAAAGCGCAUGGUUUCCUUUCUAAUCCUCAUGGGAGCUUUCAGAAGUUGCUAGACAGUCUCUGCUGGGUGCCACUAUGACUUUAACACCUACAUCUCCAUCAUCUGCUCAUCUCCCAGUUUAACAGAGGAAUCGAUCCUCAUGAUCAGACCGUUAGCUGUUGUAGUAGCAGCUGAUUGUUUUUAUUGUAUUUAAUUUUUACUGUUAUUUUUCUACUUAAAGCGAGCAACACUGGUUUUGUUUACAAAAGAGUUUUUGCAAGGUUCCUUUCAAAACAAACAUAUUUAACUUUUGAGAAGGGGAAAAGUGGCCGGGCAUGAUGGCUUACACCUGUAAUCUCAACACUUUGGGAGUCUCAGGCAGGUGGAUUACCUGAGGUCAGGGGUUCGAGACCAGCCUGGCCAACAUGGUAAAACCCUUUCUCUACUAAAAAUACAAAAAUUAGCUGGGCGUGGUGACGCAUGCCUGUAGUCUCAGCUACUCGGGAGGGUGAAGCAGGAGAAUCGCUUGAACUGGGGAGGCAGAGGUUGCAGUGAGCCAAGAUCAUGCCACAGCACUCCAGCCUGGGUGACAGAGAGACUCCGUCUCCAGAAAAAAAAAAAAAAAGAAGAAGAAAGGAAAGGGGAAAUUUUAAAAAUAAAACAAUAGUACAAGGGUUACGUGGAUACAGUAAUAACUCUUGGGGUUUUAAUGUGUUUAAUCUGAACAGGGAAAAUCACCAGUAAAGUGGAAAGAACAUGAUAUUGGCGUCAACAGUGCAGAUGCAAGCUCUCUGGCAGCUUCCCUCCUUAAAACUUACCAGUAAGCCAGAGACUUGCUUUCUCAGCUUCCUUUGCAGCUAAAAGUGGCCAUGUGACCCAAUUCUGAUUUAAAAAAUAUUUAAGAACUUAAGGGGAAAUGGGAAAGACUUCUAGGGAGGCUUUUACUUUGCUAAUAAAACAGUUAGACGUGAGCCAGGUGCAGUGGCCCACGCCUGUAAUCCCAGCACUUUGGGAGGCCAAGGUGGUCAGAUCACUUGAAGUCAGCAGUUCAAGAACAGCCUGGCCAACAUGGUGAAACCCUGUCUCUACUAAAAAUACAAAAUUAGCCAGGCAUGGUGGCAGACACCUGUAAUCCCAGCUACUCAGGAGGCUGAGGCAGGAGAAUUGCUUGAACCCAGGAGGUGGAGGUCGCAGUGAUCCAAGAUCGCACCACUGCACUCCAGCCUGGGCGACAGAGCAAAACUCCAACUCCAAAAAAAAAAAAAAAAAGAAAAGAAAAGAAAGAAAGAAAAAGAAAUAACAACAACAACAAACCAGGCAGGCCAGGCUCAGUGGCUCAUGCCUAUAAUCCCAGCAAUUUGGGAGGCUGAGGUGGACGGAUCACCUGAAGUCAGGGUUUCAAGACCAACCUGGUCAACGUGGUGAAACCCCAUCUCUGCUAAAAAUACAAAGAUUAGGCCAGGCACGGUGGCUCACAUGCCUGUAAUCCCAGCACUUUGGGAGGCCAAGGUGGAUGGAUCACCUGUGGUCAGGAGUUCGAAACCAGCCUGGCCAACAUAGUGAAACCCCAUCUCUACAAAAAAACACAAAAAUCAGGUGGGCGUGGUGGUGCUUGCCUGUAAUCCCAGCUACUUGGGAGGUUGAGGCAGAAGAAUCACUUGAACUCAGGAAGGAGGCGGACGUCUCAGUGAGUCGAGAUCGUGCCACUGCACUCCCAGUCUAGGCGACAGAGUGAGACUUCGUCUCAAAAAAAAAAAAAAAAGAUUAGCAAGGCAUGGUGGCAGGUGCCUAUAAUCCCAACUACUCAGGAGGCUGAGGCAUGAGAAUCACUUGAACCCAGGAGGUGAAGGCUGCAGUGGGCCGAGAUCACGCCACUGCACUCCAGUCUGGGCAACAGAGUGGAACUCUGUCUCAAAAAAAAUCCAGGCAGAUGCAGCUUGUGGUGCUGCCUCUCCUUCCUACCUGGAUCAAGAAUAUGAUGUCUGCAGUCAUGGCAACCGUAUUGGGACCAAGAAACCACAAGCCAAUUUAAGGAUAGUGACAUGGAAAAUAACUUGAUAUAUAGUUAAGCCACUGCCCUAACUCUGAGCUACUCCCCUCUUGAUUUUUUAUGUGAAAAAUAAUAAAAUAUACCCAUUUAAGCCAUUGUUGGUUUGGGUUUCUAUUACAUGCAGGCAAAAAUAUUCUUAAUGAACACGGAGUUUGGCACAAAUGGAUUCAGUGGACAAAUGUCUUCUAAGUGCACACAGUGGCUGUGGUUCCUUUAACGGAGCCACUUCACCUCUCAAAGAUCAGUUUCUUUACGAGUAAGGUCAAUGAUACUUACUUCAAAUCUGAGGAUUAAAAGAAAUAGUGCAUGUAAAACACCUACCAGCAGACUCCGCACAUAGUAGGUCUCUACAAAUGCACAAUAAAUGUGCAAAUAGAGGCCAGGCGCAGUGGGUGAUGCCUGUAAUCCCAGCACUUUGGGAGGCUGAGGCGGGCAGAUCACAAGGUCAGGAGUUCAAGACCAGCCUGGCCAACAUAGCGAAACCCCCAUCUCUACUAAAAAUACAAAAAAUUAGCCGGGCGUGGUGGCGGGCACCUGUAAUCCCAGCUACUCGGGAGUCUGAGGGAGGAGAAUCGCUUGAACCCAGGAGGCAGAAGUUGCAGUGAGCCGAGAUCGCGCCAUUGCACUCCAGCCUAAGCGACAAUGCAAGACUCUGUCUCAAAAAAAGAAAAAAAAAGUGCAAAUAUAAUAUAAAGACUCACAGAUGUAUUUGUGAGUUGAUGGGGUUGCAGGCGGGCAGGGAGAGGGGAACUGCCUAAAUGUUUAAGAUCCAAAGCAAUAGCUCUCUAACAGAACAAUCUGGGGAGGCAGUAAUUCAAGGGAGUCUACCUUUAUCCACUGUCGAAUCAUGUCCUGUUUCACAGGUGGAGAGAGAGGGAUGAGGGACAAAUGGGUAAGCAGAUACUGUUCACAAGUCUGGCCUGUGUUCCACACCAGUCUGUCACUUGUACAGGUCUUGAUUAAAAGUAGGGAAGGGGCCAGGCAUGGUGGCUCACGCCUGUAAUCCCAGCACUUUGGGAGGCCCUGAGGAGGGCGGAUCACAAGGUCAGGAGAUCGAGACAAUCCUGGCUAACACAGUGAAACCCCGUCUCUACUAAAAAUACAAAAAAUUUAGCUGGGCCUGGUGGCAUGCGCCUGUAGUCCCAGCUACCCAGGAGGCUGAGGCAGGAAAAUC
rnacentral:antisense_RNA from 1 species